rnacentral:misc_RNA from 1 species
GAACAUCAAAAUUUGGCGUAUGUUCGACAGUUUUUGUCGGAGAAUACUGUGUUCGGACCGGAGCUGGUCGUUCUCCCUCCUUACGCUGUGACAAUGGUACACAACAAAGCGCAACCGGUUCGAGAGUUCUCGAUUUUGAAUCCUCAGUUGGUUCACCUGAUUUCUUAGAUUUUCUAAGUGUCUUUGUUUUCGCAUGCGUGACCGCCUGGCUGACUCCCGAUUCGAUAUCAUCCGCCUCCGUUUCCGCUCAUCGAUCACCGAAACGGUGGUUGGUUUCUGUUCAUCAGAACUACAGUUAGAGUUGGCAGGGUUUUGGUUAGACCGGUUCGGUUCGUUUGGAUCAUCAGAACCAGAGCUCGAAACUAUGGGUUUUGUUAAUUGGGGAUCGGUGGCGGCAAAGAGGUCAGAACAGUCCCACGGCGGUGUAUAGCCGUUUUCAAAGGACGGAAACGGGUUUCCAAGUAUGGAAUCAGCGGAGGAGAAGAAGCCUGCCGGAAUAGCAGUAGCAGAUAACAUGUUUGACAGAAUUGCUUAAUAGACAAGGGAGGAAGGAAGGAGGAGGAAAGGGAAGAAAUGCGGUCUAAGGGCCUCAUAUUUAUGGCCAAAAUUGGAGUGCAAUUCUGGGACCCACUCUUUGGCGUGAAAAAUGCCAUUGAGGGGUAUUUUGGUCUUAUCACCCUUGUGGGGUUUGCGGGGAUUGGCUUUCGAGUCAGUGGG